UACAGAGGGUGCAAACGUUGCUCGGAAUCAUUGGGCGUAAAGCGCUCGUAGGCGGUCCUAUAAGUCAGAUGUGAAAGCCCAGGGCUCAACCCUGGAAGUGCAUUUGAAACUGUAGGGCUUGAAUAUGGAAGAGGGUCGCGGAAUUCCCGGUGUAGAGGUGAAAUUCGUAGAUAUCGGGAGGAACACCAGUGGCGAAGGCGGCGACCUGGGCCAAUAUUGACGCUGAGGAGCGAAAGCGUGGGGAGCAAACAGG
rnacentral:rRNA from 1 species